UUUCCGUAGGUGAACCUGCGGAAGGAUCAUUAAUGAGAACUAAGGGUAGUAGUCUCGGCUAUUACUCUGAACACUCCACCCUUUGUUUAUAUUACCUUUGUUGCUUUAGCAGGCCCGCUCUCGAGCCGCCGGCACCUGCUGGCUAGUGCCUGCUAAAGAACCUAAAACUCUUGUUAAUAAUAUUGUCUGAGUACUAUAUAAUAGUUAAAACUUUCAACAACGGAUCUCUUGGUUCUGGCAUCGAUGAAAACGCAGC
rnacentral:misc_RNA from 1 species